rnacentral:misc_RNA from 1 species
CAAGUGACCCCCGGCUCCGGCCGGGGAUGUUCAUAACCCUUUGUUGUCCGACUCUGUUGCCUCCGGGGCGACCCUGCCUUUUCCGGGCGGGGGCCCCGGCUGGACACCACAAAACUCUUGCGUAACUUUGCAGUCUGAGUAAAUUUAAAUUAAUAAAUUA